UUUGUUCCAACAGUCUUGCCUUUUUCUGGAACACCAGGUAAACAGAACCACGUUAGUACGGCGCCUUUCGAAUCUGGCUUCUUUCAUUUGGCAUUUGCAAUACAUCCAAGUGGCUGCGUGUGUCAGUGGCUGCUUUGUAUUGCCAAGCAGUGAGGCACUGGAUGCAUGUAGCACACCUGUCCGUCCGUUCCCAGGGACUCAAGAACUAUUUUGCCAGGUGGCCACACCACUUCAGGUUUCCAGCAGCAGCACGCGGGGGUUCCAGCUGCCGCUCCGCACCCUGGCCAGCACUCGGCAUGGCCAACUUUUUCUUCUGUUUUGAUCAUCCUGGUAAGGGUGUGGUGGCCUUGCGUUGUGGUUUUCAUUUGUGCUUCCCUGAUUAUAAUCAUGUUGAACGUCCCCACAUCUUUGGUGAAGUGUUGAAAUGCUCCACUUGUUUUACAGUGGAUGUUGCCCUUCAUUAUUAAGUUUUCAGGGUUUUAAAAAAUAUGUCCUGGAUAGAAGUCCUUUAUCAAUAUGUGAUUUGCACGUA